UACUGCUAUGGCCUACCUUUCUGCCGGGGACGAGCUCCUGGGCUUAACUGUCCGGGACUCGGAAUCGGCGAGGUUACUUUGAGUAAAUUAGAGUGUUCAAAGCAAGCCUACGCUCUGAAUACAUUAGCAUGGAAUAACACGAUAGGACUCUGGCUUAUCUUGUUGGUCUGUAAGACCGGAGUAAUGAUUAAGAGGGACAGUCGGGGGCAUUCGUAUUUCAUUGUCAGAGGUGAAAUUCUUGGAUUUAUGAAAGACGAACUUCUGCGAAAGCAUUUGCCAAGGAUGUUUUCAUUAAUCAAGAACGAAAGUUGGGGGCUCGAAGACGAUUAGAUACCGUCGUAGUCUCAACCAUAAACGAUGCCGACUA
rnacentral:rRNA from 1 species